rnacentral:tRNA from 8 species
GGAGAAUUGGCUGAGAGGCUGAAGGCACUCCCCUGCUAAGGGAGCAUGUGGGCUUAAACCUGCAUCGAGGGUUCGAAUCCCUCAUUCUCCGCCA